UGUUGUAGCAGCAGUUUGUUGAUCCGGUUCAUCCUCAGGACCCCGCCUCCUGUCACAGGACAGUCUCUGCACGCCGUGCAGGGAGUGACAGAGGGUCCAGAGCACGCAAACGCUGUCCAUGCUGCAAAGACGAGCAGCAGCAGCACUCUGCUCCUGCCUGCCCGCCUCAGAAGAGGAAGAGGACCUCUGUGGCUCCUCCUUCCAGAGCUUCUGCUGAACCUCUGGUCCCAAGGCCUCGGUCCCCCAUUCCACCUGAUGAGCUUCCCGUCGUCUCCAGUGUGGCCCCCAGCCCCCGGCCCUCCACCUCUCCACUGCAGCCUGACUCAGAUCCCAGGAUCCACAACCGCUCAGUGGAGGAGUAUCAGCGGAUCUACCAUGAAGUGGUAGACGACAUGCUGAAAUUUAAGAACGGCCGCCCUCGUCCCUACAGCUUAGAGCUGGGACGUCGGAUCAAACAGAAGCUCUGGGAACGACUGAACCGUCCUUAUUUCACAGAGACAGUGGAUGAAAACGGACUUGUGCAUGUGGAAGCGUCAUACGGGGUCGGAGUCUAUCCUCCUCAGUAUGACAUGGACACAUCAGGAGAACCACAGCCUGAGACUCCUCCACAGAAAAGAGCCAGGAAGUAGAGCUCAGAGACUUUUUAUGAGCUAAAGAAGAACAAACUGUAAAUAUGUAAAUAUGUAGUUUUAAGUUUUAAGUUUUAAGUUUUCUUUAAGAGCCAGACAAUGCAGCCUGAGCCUCCACCUGCACCACCUGACGGGAUACGGGAACUCUAAAAAACAUUUAAAAGACUUGUUUCAUGCUCUGCCUCCAACCAAAGAUCCACCUUAAGCCUCCUCCUGCCUGACCUUGUAGCCUUAACCCACCUCCACCUAAAACCACCAAGGUGAAGAUCCAUCCUCAGUCUCCAACCAAACAACAGCUUGCUUCCUCCAGCGUCUGCCAGCAGCUUUUAACAUCCAGCAGCUGCAGAUUCAAAAAUCAUGUCGACCUGCACUUGAAAAAUGAUGCUCAGCUUCAGCCAAACACUCAACAUCAACCUCUGCCAUUAAUCUACAGCCACCUCCACCUGCAGAUUGUGGCAGACAGCUGAAGCCUGAGCCUCAACUUUCGACUAUGACCAAACACCGGAUUUGACCUCCUCCAACUUUGUCUUCUGCAAGAUGUCUGCACCUUCACCUCCACCUGCAGACUGUGUAUAGACUCUUGCAGAAGUUGUCUCCACCUUGAUAGAUCUUUUUGAAUGCAGAGGCAUCUGUUGCCUCUUCCUCCAGCCUCUCCUACCGACUGACAACUGUUGCCUCCACCUGAAGCCUCUGCCCGCAGACUGCAGGUUACACCUCCAUCUGCAUAUCCAGGCAGAGAGCCUCACAGGCCCACAGUGUCAGAGUCCUCCAACCACAAGGGUCUGACGGAAGCCUGAACCUCCACCUAAACCUUCUGUUAGCUGAACUACCAACCAAGCCCCUGCUGCUGCUCCUGAAACAUCCACCUGGAGCUUCUGCCUGCUGUCUGCAGCCACUGAUUCUACAUGUAGACAGCUGCAGACAGGAGCGGCCAGAACCAGACUUCUAUCAAACCCUCAACCACAAUACUACACCUGAUGUUUCUGUUUCACAGCAUCCGCCUUCAUCCAGCCUCCUGCCCCUCUGCCUCCAUCUGCAGAGGCUUCCUUCCUCUGGACGUUAAAGGUUCUUCUGGACUCACCAACAUCCAGAUCUGCAGGAGCUGAUGAAGGCUGGUGCAGAAGGAUUUUCUGCUACAAGAGCUGUGCACAGAGACGUCUUCAUGUCCUCCUCAUCCUCCAUAUUCACCUCAGCUCCUGCUCCUCUCCUGAAAGCUCCUCCUCUCAUGGACCCUUUAGUUUAACAAACGUUCUUGUCUCCUCCAUAAAUUAGCUCCAAUAAUAGAAACAAAUCAGGGUAGUUAUAUUAAAAACAAAAUAUGAGCUUAGGAGACAAAGACACUCAGAUUAUUAUUUUUGGAAUGUAGUUAGCUGACCAAAAAUGAGAACAUUUUGUAUUAAGAGAUAGGGUUUAUGACUUAUUAUAUUAAAAAGUAAAAUAAAUAGGUUUUGAUUCAGCUACUAACUAAAAUGAUUUUAAUCUAAAUGCUUUCACAAACAGAAACUCAUUGAGAAAAAAUAGACUUAAAAAGACAAAUCCUGAACUAAAGAAGUUACAAAAUCAGUCAUAUGUUUCAUCAAAUAAUCCCAGCCAGUCACAGCAGAUGGUUGUUCACCAUGGGUCAGGUUCUGCUCGAGGUUUCUGCCUGUUGAAAGGAAGUUUUUCCUCGCCACUGUUGCCAAAGUGCUUGCUUGUGGUGGAUUCAAAUGGGGCUUUCUUAAUAAUAGAACAGAGUACAGGUUAGACCUGCUCUUUAUGUAAGCUUGACUGAGAUCCCUUUUAUCAUGGGAUGUUGCAUCUUAUUAUGCAUGAAGUAGUUCAUGAGAAGUUAAAGACUCUCAGGAAAAAGUUAUGAUCUCUUAUGAAGAUCACUCAGGACCACAAACGCUUCAAAGAAUCAAAUCCUCAAAGAUAGAAACAGCCUGCUAAGAGAAGACACAAAAACAGAAAUAUGAGCUGAUUUAUUUCACCUUUAUUAGAUUGACCUUCUCCACAGUGAGGACUAAAGUACUAUAUGCUACAAAUAUCA